rnacentral:lncRNA from 12 species
CACACAACAUUCACUCCAGUGCCUGGACUCUCUCUUGUGCCCAGAGUUCAGCAUAUGACCCAGCUCCUGGCAAACCAAUGCCCAUGUGCCCCAGCAGCAGAAGUGAUUCAAAUGGAGUGACAACUGCCUAAGGACUUUUGUGAGAAACAGGCAGAAGGAACUGAUUAAACAUGAAGCUUCACAGGAAAGAAUUCUCAUUUGAGUCUUUAUGGAGGAUGACAGCUUACUCCACAUUUCAACAUGACUGGAACAACCGGUGACAGGAUUCUGGCCAGGUGAGUGAGGGGGGGAUGUGAUGUA